rnacentral:rRNA from 1 species
AACGAACGCUGGCGGCAUGCCUAACACAUGCAAGUCGAACGAGACCUUCGGGUCUAGUGGCGCACGGGUGCGUAACGCGUGGGAACCUGCCCUUAGGUUCGGAAUAACUCCCCGAAUGGGGUGCUAAUACCGGAUAAUGUCUUCGGACCAAAGGUUUAUCGCCUUUGGAUGGGCCCGCGUUGGAUUAGCUAGUUGGUAGGGUAAAAGCCUACCACGGCGACGAUCCAUAGCUGGUCUGAGAGGAUGAUCAGCCACACUGGGACUGAGACACGGCCCAGACUCCUACGGGAGGGAGCAGUGGGGAAUAUAGGAAAGUGGGGGGAGGCCUGAAGCAGCAAGGCCGCGUAAGUGAUGAAGGCCGUGGGGUUGUAAAGCUCUUUUACCCGGGAUGAUAAUGACGGUACCGGGAGAAUAAGCUCCGGCUAACUCCGUG